GUGCCAGCAGCCGCGGUAAUACAGAGACUGCAAGCGUUAUUCGGAUUCACUGGGCGUAAAGGGUGCGCAGGCGGCCGAGUGUGUUAGGCGUGAAAGCCCGUCGCUCAACGACGGAAUUGCACCUAAAACUACUUGGCUAGAGUACUGGAGAGGGUAGUGGAAUUCACGGUGUAGCAGUGAAAUGCGUAGAUAUCGUGAGGAACACCAAUGGCGAAGGCAACUACCUGGACAGUUACUGACGCUCAGGCACGAAAGCGUGGGGAGCAAAAGGGAUUAGAAACCCCCGUAGUCC
rnacentral:rRNA from 1 species